GCGUGUCGCGGAUGUGUCGCAGUGUCGCAGGGUCGUGGUGUGGCGAGAAUACAGAGCCGCGAGAAUGCGGGGUCCCGAGGAUGCUGAGCCGCAAGGAUGCGGAGCAGCGAAGAAGCGGAGUCACGAGGGCAGGCGAGCAUUCGUGGGAGAAGCGAGCGCGCGCGCGCGAGGGUACUAGUCUGAUAUCUCGCGGAAGUGUCGCAGGAGUGUUGCAGGGUCGCAGGGUGAGGAGUCGUGGGGGUCGCGCGAGGAGGCGAGCUUUCGCAGGAAAAGCAAACGCGUGCG
rnacentral:lncRNA from 1 species